rnacentral:rRNA from 1 species
GACGAACGCUGGCGGCGUGCCUAAUACAUGCAAGUCGAACGCUUCUUUCCUCCCGAGUGCUUGCACUCAAUUGGAAAGAGGAGUGGCGGACGGGUGAGUAACACGUGGGUAACCUACCCAUCAGAGGGGGAUAACACUUGGAAACAGGUGCUAAUACCGCAUAACAGUUUAUGCCGCAUGGCAUAAGAGUGAAAGGCGCUUUCGGGUGUCGCUGAUGGAUGGACCCGCGGUGCAUUAGCUAGUUGGUGAGGUAACGGCUCACCAAGGCCACGAUGCAUAGCCGACCUGAGAGGGUGAUCGGCCACACUGGGACUGAGACACGGCCCAGACUCCUACGGGAGGCAGCAGUAGGGAAUCUUCGGCAAAGGACGAAAUUCUGACCGAGCAACGCCGCGUGAGUGAAGAAGGUUUUCGGAUCGUAAAACUCUGUUGUUAGAGAAGAACAAGGACGUUAGUAACUGAACGUCCCCUGACGGUAUCUAACCAGAAAGCCACGGCUAACUACGUG